AGGGGGCUAGCGUUGCUCGGAAUCACUGGGCGUAAAGGGUGCGUAGGCGGGUUAUUAAGUCAGAGGGGAAAUCCUGGAGCUCAACUCCAGAACUGCCUUUGAUACUGAUAGUCUUGAGUAUGGGAGAGGUGAGUGGAACUGCGAGUGUAGAGGUGAAAUUCGUAGAUAUUCGCAAGAACACCAGUGGCGAAGGCGGCUCACUGGCCCAUUACUGACGCUGAGGCACGAAAGCGUGGGGAGCAAACAGG
rnacentral:rRNA from 1 species